rnacentral:rRNA from 1 species
AUUGAACGCUGGCGGCAGGCCUAACACAUGCAAGUCGAGCGAGCGGCGGACGGGUGAGUAAUGUCUGGGAAACUGCCUGAUGGAGGGGGAUAACUACUGGAAACGGUAGCUAAUACCGCAUACCAUCAGAUGUGCCCAGAUGGGAUUAGCUAGUAGGUGGGGUAACGGCUCACCUAGGCGACGAUCCCUAGCUGGUCUGAGAGGAUGACCGGCCACACUGGAACGGAGAGACGGUCCAGACUCCGACGGGAGGAAGCAGUGGGGAAUAUUGCACAAUGGGCGCAAGCCUGAUGCAGCCAUGCCGCGUGAGAGAAGAAGGCCUUCGGUUUGGAGAGCACUUUCAGCGGGGAGGCGUUACCCGAAGAAGAAGCACCGGCUAACUCCGUGCCAGCAGCCGCGGUAAUUC